GCGAGGUUGUCAGACAGAUACUGACAAUGUCAACUGGAGUUCUCUAUUAGGUAAAUCUAUUUCUGAUUUUAGAAUGACAGGAUAGGCAGAUAGAAUUAAACAAUUAAUCUCAACUGAACAGUUUGUAGUUGAGAUUUCUGUAAAGAUGUAAUAAUGUCCUUGAACAGGAACAGCAACUGAGGCCAGGUUAACAUACAUCAGAUGUAAAUACAGUAGAUUUAAAUAGUGGCAUCUGUAUGGCAUCAGGGAGAAUUGAGUAGGAAGAGUGGUGCAUGUGGAUUCACCUGGCAUGACAAGUGGUGACUUGUAGGUUUUAAUUAUCUUUAAGGGAUUAGCAUGUCCUCACAUUCAUGAGCAAUACAAAAAGGAUUGCAUUCAUGCAGAUUUUAUAAGUUCAGCUUGAGAAGGGGUUACAGGAUUUUAGAAGGAAAUCAAUUACAUUUCUUCUCAGCCACAUUCACUUCUAAUUAACAUUUUCAUCAUUUUCUUGUGUCAUGGGACCAAAUGGACUACAAAUGUGGACACUACAAUUCUUCCAAGGGUUUUUUGAGGACUGCUCUGGGUUGCUUGAAAGUUCAACACUUCAAUACUUGACCGAAUCUUCCAUUGAAUUACCCUGAAUAUGGACAAUACUCAAAGGAUUGACUUUGUUGUUACUGACAGGCUGAAUACAGACAAGACGAGGACUCUGCAACCGCUCCUGUAGGAAUCAAAGUCAUGGCAACUAAGCUGAACUGGAAAGAUAUUACAAAAUACUGAGCUAAAAGGUUGAAGGAGACCAAAACAGCUACAACCAGUACUGCAGUGAAGACCACCUAAGAUUUUAAUUACAAAAUAGUGAUUAUACACAUUAACUGUCACAGAUGAAGCAAUGAGAGCCAUAUGUUUUAGCAGCACAAUACAGAACUGUACAAAGUUGUGGAGGUCCUCAUCGGGUUGUCAUCUUUGAUCAAUGUAGAGAUCACACACAUUUAGGAUAUUAUUUAAAAACUCUCUUUAGUUUCAGUGGAAGCAACUGACAAGAAAAAGAUUCAACAACACAUGGCAUACCAGACACUCCUUUUACACAGCGUGUAUUUCCAAUCACUCUUAAACAAGAGAACAGGAUUCAUUGUGCAAGAAAUACAACUCUACAUCACAGGUAAGCUGAAAUUCUUUAGUGCUGUACAUGGAUUGUUUUUAGUUCUUCAGAGGUGAGGUUUUUCCCUUAUAGUUUAGUCAGACACAUACAUUAAGGAAUUGAUCACUUAUUGAAAUUGAUGAUUAUACAGUAAGAUUUGGCGAAAAAGAGAAGAGAAGCACCAAUAAUCUGAGCAGCAAAGAGGAUUCUGUUGCUAGAGAUCAUACCCUCUAUUGAGUAAUGGUACAGAGUUAUAGAUAGCUGUGAACAUAUGUGAACAUGUAUGUAACAAUAGCUUAGCCAGAAUUCACUUAGGUGUAAAUGGUUAUGCUGUGAAUCAACAAUAUCAAUGAUUCUGAAUGAGCCUCAGUUCCCUUCUUAAACUAACACAGAGCUUAGUUUAAUAUUGUGACAAACCUGAUCUUAAACUUUUUUGUUUUAAAUCAAAUUCAGUGUAAAACAAUUAAAACAUGGGAACAAAAUUCGGGUGAGGCUUGACUUAGUAUCUCGCGUUGUAAUGUGAGAGUGUACAAUGAACCAUUUAUGUCAUAUCCGGUUAGCAUUGCAGUAGCCAAGUCAAAAAUAGAUUGUACAGCCUGAAAAGCCUGUGAUCCAUAAGGAAAUCAAAAUUUGCUUAAAACCACUGCAAUGGUAAGAUUUUCGGUGUUAUCUAAUUGUUUAAAAUGCCUAUGUAUGUCUAAACUGUAACUAUACUGAUAUAAUAGUGAAGAUGAAUAGUAAUUCAACAUGUUAUUUUGUCUAACUAACAAAACUAGCUAAUCUGUUAGCAUGUGUUUAUUGUUGAGCGACAAUAAUAAUCUAUGCUUUCAUGACAACACUUUAAUAAACAAACUGGCAUUUCUAGUCCGGCAACAGUUAAUGAGGGCAGUUUGUCUAUUUUGUACGGUAAACUGGAUUAGAUAUUGUUCAUGCGACAUGUUGUCAUGUCAAACGGAGAUUUGGAUGCCAACAUGGCGGAGGAAACCUAUGAUGAGGUCACUGAGCAAUGAAAGCUCAAAACAUGAACUCCCCUUGACACAAUUUGUGAUGUAUAAUACAGUAUAUACGCAAAUGUGUGAUUAUUUGUGAUUGUGUAUUAUAUUUAAGUUGAGGUGUUUUUAUGGGACCCAUUAUUGAGUCUGCCAGACUUUUAGAAGAUAAAUGUUAAUGUCAAACAACAAACAUCUCUAACAUAUCACUGUCCUGCUGUCUCACACUCAGGUUAGACCCAUUCAACAAGUAGAGUCAUCUACACCAGUCCAGUGUGAGACCAAUCCCACUGGUUUAAAUGGAGUUGUGGUGUAUGAUAAUAAAGAUUAUCCCAUAACGUCUGAUAGGAGCCACCAGCCUAGAGGUCAGACUUCCUCUUGGGACAAUUUAACUGCUGCUGGUGGAGGAUUGGACCAGCAGCAGAGCUCAGAAGAAAUACAACACCAGGAGGAAAGCCUAUGGUUUCAGCCCCACGGACCCUUGAUAUCUGAUCAGAGAUAUGAUGUACAACUAAGUCAUCGUUCAGUUUUCCUGACUGACCCCUGGUGGUGUCAGAAUGGUCCAUUGGUGGAAAUUAUACUUGUCCUCCUCCUCCUCCUUCCCCCUACACUUAUAAUGGUCUAUUUUUUUGCAAUCGAUAAUAAAUGUUAUUUUUUCAAAUAAACGCAUUUUAACAUUU